AUCUAACACCGAAGUUCUGUUUACGGAUAGGUCUAAUAAAGAACUUACAACGGCUUUUGUUCCUUAAUUGACAAGAGUAACUAGGGGUAAUUACUCUGCAUGGCGUUUCUGGGCCUGUCAAUUACAUCGGGCAUGCGACGUGUCUCUAACUGAAAUAUGACUAUAAAAACGAAAUGUACGCAUUAUGGUCUUUAGUGUAAAAGAAAAGCAACACAACGGGGUUUGGAAAACAAAGGUUAAGAUUACAAGAUGCAAGUUACAAUGGUACCAAUCCUGCUUUUAUUGUGUAUGGCUGUGCCUAACAUCAAGGCUUUAGAUACAUUUGAAAACUAUGUUCGCAGGAACGUACCGAACGGUUUCACGAUGUCUGCGUUUGUGGAAACAUGUGAAGGAUGUGGCGUGUUGUACGGGAAAGAUUUCACAUACAAAUGUUUGGCGGAUAAAACAUUGAGCACUUUCAAGGGAUGUUUUAUAGCUGUGCACGAUCGAAGAUAACAAACAAUUAAUUUUGAUAAAUAUCGUAAAGAUCUCUUAUAUAAACUCAUUUUCUUGUUUAAAUACUUUACGUAUAGUUUAAUUUCUAAAGAAAAGAUUGUUUUAGCAGUUUUAUAUCAAAUCAAUGCAUUUUAAAAUUAUUUUCAAAUGAUAAUAUUAUAAUAUGGUGCAAUGUUAAAA